rnacentral:tRNA from 1 species
UCCCUGAUGGUCGAGUGGCUAAGACUCCACACUCCCAAUGCAGAUGUUCUAGCCUCCAUCCCUGGUCAGGGAA